AAGAUUUAUGUUUAUCUUCUUUCUAGAUUCCCAUUCAUUAAUUUAUGCUCCUUUAGUUUUCUAAAGAUUUUUUUUGCCAUUAUUACUUUUUUUCUUUUUAUAGAUCGCAAUUUCUCAUAAAAUAAUGAUCAUAAUAUCGAUUUGUGGCACGUUCAUUUUGCUGCUCCUGCAAGCAAUCGGUGAUUCGGUGCUAUCUAUGGUAUGAGAAGAGAUAGAGAGAAUACGUUUAGAGCUUGGUGUGAGGAAAGCUCUUGGUCAACACUAUGUCUAUUAAUUUAAUCUUUGGCUUUGCCUAUUUUCAUUCUAUAUUUUCUUAAGUCUUUAAUAAGAAAUGAUAAUGUCUCUGUCUGGCAUGCUAAAAAUACUCUUCAAGGAAUACAUUUGUGGAGGAAUGUUUUUGUUAAGAAACAGAAAAAAACAAAAAACAAAAGGAGAGUUGUAGAUGAAAUCAUUCAAAGAAAAUGAACAACAUCCCCGUGACUUGUCAUAAA